AUUGAACGCUGGCGGCAGGCUUAACACAUGCAAGUCGAGCGAGCGGCGGACGGGUGAGGAAUGUCUGGGAAACUGCAUGAUGGAGGGGGAUAACUACUGGAAAAGGUAGCCAAUACCGCAUACCAUCAGAUGUGCACAGAUGGGAUUAGCAAGUAGGUGGGGUAAUGGCUCACCUAGGCGACGAUCCCGAGCUGGUCUGAGAGGAUGACCAGCCACACUGGAACUGAGACACGGUCCAGCCUCCUCCGGGACGCGUCAUUGGGGCAUAUUGCCCAAUCGGCGCAAGCCUGAUGCAGCCGUGCCGCGUGUGUGAAGAAGGCCUUCGGGUUGUAAAGCACUUUCUGCGAGGAGGCGUUACUCGCAGCAGACGCACCGGCUAACUCCGUGCCAGCAGCCGCGGUAAUAC
rnacentral:rRNA from 1 species